rnacentral:rRNA from 1 species
UACGAAGGGGGCUAGCGUUGUUCGGAAUUACUGGGCGUUAAGGGCGCGUAGGCGGUGUGUCAAGUCAGGCGUGAAAGCCCCGGGCUCAACCUGGGAACCGCGCUUGAGACUGGCACGCUCGAGUUCGGGAGAGGAUGGUGGAAUUCCCAGUGUAGAGGUGAAAUUCGUAGAUAUUGGGAAGAACACCGAUGGCGAAGGCAGCCAUCUGGACCGACACUGACGCUGAGGCGCGAAAGCGUGGGGAGCAAACAGG